rnacentral:rRNA from 1 species
UGCAAGUCGAGCGGACAGAUGGGAGCUUGCUCCCUGAUGUUAGCGGCGGACGGGUGAGUAACACGUGGGUAACCUGCCUGUAAGACUGGGAUAACUCCGGGAAACCGGGGCUAAUACCGGAUGGUUGUUUGAACCGCAUGGUUCAAACAUAAAAGGUGGCUUCGGCUACCACUUACAGAUGGACCCGCGGCGCAUUAGCUAGUUGGUGAGGUAACGGCUCACCAAGGCAACGAUGCGUAGCCGACCUGAGAGGGUGAUCGGCCACACUGGGACUGAGACACGGCCCAGACUCCUACGGGAGGCAGCAGUAGGGAAUCUUCCGCAAUGGACGAAAGUCUGACGGAGCAACGCCGCGUGAGUGAUGAAGGUUUUCGGAUCGUAAAGCUCUGUUGUUAGGGAAGAACAAGUACCGUUCGAAUAGGGCGGUACCUUGACGGUACCUAACCAGAAAGCCACGGCUAACUACGUGCCAGCAGCCGCGGUAAUACGUAGGUGGCAAGCGUUGUCCGGAAUUAUUGGGCGUAAAGGGCUCGCAGGCGGUUUCUUAAGUCUGAUGUGAAAGCCCCCGGCUCAACCGGGGAGGGUCAUUGGAAACUGGGGAACUUGAGUGCAGAAGAGGAGAGUGGAAUUCCACGUGUAGCGGUGAAAUGCGUAGAGAUGUGGAGGAACACCAGUGGCGAAGGCGACUCUCUGGUCUGUAACUGACGCUGAGGAGCGAAAGCGUGGGGAGCGAACAGGAUUAGAUACCCUGGUAGUCCACGCCGUAAACGAUGAGUGCUAAGUGUUAGGGGGUUUCCGCCCCUUAGUGCUGCAGCUAACGCAUUAAGCACUCCGCCUGGGGAGUACGGUCGCAAGACUGAAACUCAAAGGAAUUGA